AGUGAACGCUGGCGGUAGGCCUAACACAUGCAAGUCGAACGGCAGCACAGUAAGAGCUUGCUCUUACGGGUGGCGAGUGGCGGACGGGUGAGGAAUACAUCGGAAUCUACUUUUUCGUGGGGGAUAACGUAGGGAAACUUACGCUAAUACCGCAUACGACCUACGGGUGAAAGCAGGGGAUCUUCGGACCUUGCGCGAUUGAAUGAGCCGAUGUCGGAUUAGCUAGUUGGCGGGUAAAGGCCCACCAAGGCGACGAUCCGUAGCUGGUCUGAGAGGAUGAUCAGCCACACUGGAACUGAGACACGGUCCAGACUCCUACGGGAGGCAGCAGUGGGAAUAUUGGACAAUGGGCGCAAGCCUGAUCCAGCCAUACCGCGUGGGUGAAGAAGGCCUUCGGGUUGUAAAGCCCUUUUGUUGGGAAAGAAAAGCAGCAGGUUAAUACCCCGCUGUUCUGACGGUACCCAAAGAAUAAGCACCGGCUAACUUCGUG
rnacentral:rRNA from 1 species